AGGCCCUAAGUGACUAACAUAAUGAAACAGAAGGAGUAUCAUUUUUCUCUCAUAUUUUAAACACCAUUUAAAUUAUUUUAUCAUUUCUCUCUCUUCCAUGUUCCCCACUUAAAUACUACCUCCGUUAACAGUUAUCUACAACAAAGGGCCUUUGCGCGGACUCCUAGGCAAAACUUUUAAAGUAUGAUUAAUGAAAAAUAAGGGCACUUGGUUAAGUAUUAAUCCUACUUAAAAAAAACAAAAAAAACAAAACAAAAACAAAUUAAACAAAAACCCAUAACCACCGACACCUAGAACAACUAAACCCAAAACCACCGACAACCACCGGAACAACCAAACCCACCGACUGUUUGAAUUCAAAACCACCACCGACAUCCCACCACGAACCUAGCAAAAACCACCGAAACCCGACCACAAACCCCAAUAAACCGCCCACGAACCCAACCAAAACCAAGAAAACCACCAACGAACCUAGCCAAAACCCAGCAAAUCCACCCAAAACCGACGAAACGCCGCCCACAAAUUAAACCACCGAAAUCCACCCACGAAUCACCGAAACCCACCCACAAACCACCGAAAUCCACCCAAGAAUCACCGAAACCCACCCAUAAAUAGGGCUAGCAAAAACUGACCCGACCCGAAAACCCGACCCGAACCCGAUCCGAAAAAAGCGGGUUAGGGUUGAGGUUUCCGACCCGAAAACUUAAAUGGGUCGACACGAACCCGAACCCAAAAUUAAAUGGGUUAGGUUAAGGUUGAAAAUCUCAACCCGAAAACGACCCACUUAACCCGAAAUAAAUUUCAGGUCAAAAUCAGGUCGGGUCAACCCGAACCCGACCUGAUAACCCGAACUAAUUUAAGUAAGAAAAAGAAAAAAAACGUAAAAAUCUUAUUAAGCCCAGCCCAAAUUCACAAAGAGGCUUCCAUAUAUAAAUUCAAUACCCUAAAUGAACUCAUUUCCCCUCAUUGAUCUUCAGCCGUUUUUCCCCUCACUUCUCUCUCUUUAAUUUUCUCUCUCCUCAAAAACUCAUUGUUGAAUUCGACAGAGGUAGUUCCGUUAAGCCCAACUUUACCAUUGUCAUUUCCUUGACGGCUUGAAUCCUUCACUCCUCCACGAAUUCCUCUCCUUCAUCAAAGGUUUGGCAGCAAGAAGUAGCCCACCCAUGUUCAAUUGGAAAUGUUGUGGAUCAAUUUUGAAGCUUGAGGUGGUGAACACGGAUGACAGCCAUGACAAAUUGACAGUCCCAACAUCGCCCGAUCUUAAUCCAAAUGAAAAUCUUAUUGCAUCUUCUAUUAUUUUUUGAAAACUGUAAUUUGUGUUAUUAAAACUUUAUCUUUGGUUUGUAAUUAGUGAAUUACAAUUUUUAUUGGUUUAUUAUCGUUAAGUAGGAUUGUUACUUUGUUAGACUAA